rnacentral:misc_RNA from 1 species
AAAUGCGCUAAGUAAUGUGAAUUGCAGAAUUCAGUGAAUCAUCGAAUCUUUGAACGCACCUUGCGCUCCUUGGUAUUCCGAGGAGCAUGCCUGUUUGAGUGUCAUGGAAUUCUCAACUCUAUUUGCUUUUGUGAAUAGAGCUUGGAUUUGGAGGUUUAUUGCUGGUACUUGUGAUCGGCUCCUCUUGAAUGCAUUAGCUCGAACCUUUGCGGAUCAGCUAUCGGUGUGAUAAUUGUCUACGCCGUUGCAGUGAAGC